CCUUGUAGGUGAGGAGAAGUACCUUAAAAUCUAUUCUUGAUUUAACAGGGAGCCAGUGCAGAGAAGUUAAUACAGGAGUGAUAUGAUCCCUUUUCUUAGUUCUUGUUAAUACACGUGCUGCAGCAUUCUGAAUCACUGCAACAAGCCAAUAAAAAGAUUAAUUCUCCACCUUUUAAAUACCCAUGGAGAAUACUAUAUUAAAAGGUGCUUCACAGAAACAUGAAACUGUAGAAAACAGUGCAAGCAGGUGUUGAAGGUACCCUUGGCGUUGUAAACAAUGUGUUAUCAACCGUGAGAGCGGCGCUGGUAUUCUUUUCACAUGGUGAGGUGCUAGUACCUCUCACACUGCCUGUGCAAGGCAGAAUAUUUCCUCCGUUAUUCAGGCACAAUGGGAGGGAGGAGUUGUUUCUGCCGCUGAGCAGGCUGCGUAGGUAGUCACCGAGCCAAGCUGACGUCUUUAUGAAAAGGAGCCGGCGCGGCCGAACGCCAACGCUGCUGUGUUAAACACCCUACCGCUUUUGAUUUUGGAGUGCUAUCCGGAAUCACACACAUAAUGCAACUGUUUGUUCAGUACACUCAGAGAAAACAAAGCAGGUGUAACGGAGGAUCUCCUUUACGGUAGUAUACAAGAUUAUGUGUGUGAAAGCGGCUUUUGUGUCAUCAUGGCAAAAUGUGGUGCUGGAGACACAAGAUUGUGGCGGGAGCUACUGCAGUUGCCUGGUGUUUGUAUUUCUGUGGAACCAUUCUGUCCAUUUGGUAUUCUCAACACCGUGUCAGAUGCAGGACCAACAUUUUACAGGUGUGUAGCUGAGAUAAAAUUGUCAGGUAGCAUUUGUAAAUGGUUGCUUUGUCAGCAAGUGUAGCAGAAGUAGGGCGAUAGAAAAUUAGUAAGGGGCCAUUGGCCUGAUUUGUCGUUGUGGCUGGUGUGAAAAACAUUAAAUCAUUAAAUGUUUUUAUAUUGUAUUGGGUUGUUUUUAAACCUCGUUGUUUUUAAACCAGUCAUUAUGCUUUAUGCCUCACUCUCUGGAGGUGACUUGGAUCAUUCUUGUAUGUGUACAUUGGUCUUGACUAAAACAUUGCUUUCUUCUUUUUGAAAUGAAAUAUAAUAUCCAAUAUCGGUUCAUCUCCAAAUGCAACCAAGCUUUCCAUUUUCCUUGGUGGUGCAGCACAAACAAUGUUGCAUCAGUGUUCAACGUCUCGGGAUUUCUUCAUUCAAUGCUCCUCAUUUCUUUCCUGAUUACACAGGACGUAUCCCAUUUUUUUUCUAUACUUUCACGAUUACGGUGCACAUCAACAGCAUUGUGUUUGACACAUGAAGGCAUCAGGUUACAGCCCCCCAUGUGGUACAACACAAAUGUAAGAGGGAGUACUUGUGUGGUCAAGAGCGAUAUGAUGUUCACUGUACCUGCUGUGCGCUGUUUACACUCAUGUGAAGAGGCUAAAAGCUCAGAGAGAAAAGAAGACGUCCGGCCCCUCCUGCCCAGAGAGGCUCAGUGAUGCACAAGGACAACGGUAUCGUUCCGUAUAUUACAGAAAACAAGCGCAGGCCACGCUAUGUUUGUCUCGAGAGGGGUGUGUCAGACAAGCAGCAGAGAAGUGUAGCGCUGCCUCAGGAGACUGUGCUGUUACCUGCUGCAUGUCUGCGUGUGUAGACUGUGACCCUGCCUACCUUCUAUACCAGCAUUCAGAAUUCUUAAAUUUAUCCUCUUUACUAAAGUAAACAGUUUGACCCAGAUAUUUAUAACUAUUGAUCUACCCUUUCUAUCCUCACUUAUAGUCACUUAUAGAUAACAAUGUGCAAUCUGGAGUCUGAGUCACUUUUAGCUACACAAAAGAGCUUUAGCUUUCUCCUUUUACACACUGACACCCCCUUGCUUCGGUGGACUAUUUGAUUGAAUUUCAGAAUAAAUUCUCUUUUUAAUUUCCAAAUCCAAAUUGGGAGUGCAAUUCACUUGUGGUUACAGCAUGAAACGGAUGGCUUCCAUCUUCUACUCCCAGUACCAGUCAAACGUCUACAGUUACUGUUGAGUUCCCUCUCUCUACACCUGAGGCUUCAGUUUCAAUUUUGGAUUAUGUGUGAAGAUUAAACUACCAAGGGAUGCGUUGGUUACUUUAAAGAGAAGGAAUCAGAGCUUGCUGGCGAGCUUUGUUGGGGCUGUGAAAAGGAACAGCUGCUUCUUAAUGACAGAAAUGUCAAGCCAGCGGAUGUUGACACCUGUCAGCAUUCAACGGUGGUCAGCAUACAGAUUGUGUCUGCCUGCAGGUAGUGGAGACAGAACGUAUCCUGGAUUGGUUUUAUUGAUGGAAGAGGGCAAAAUAAGCUCAAGCGAAACUUUGAUUUAGUUGUUUGCUCCGCCAGGAUGACCGUGCAGUCGCCUGCUCGUACUUUUGUGAACGUGUAAGUGCAUCUGUCCAUCCGUCUUGUUUUGUAAAAUGGGUUAACCCAGAACAACUAAUUUAACUACACACAAUGCCGUACCCCUCUGCAACUCAGCCGCUGCUAGGCUGACGGACCGUUAGGUGAGUUUGAUCUAAGUUUUUGGCCAGUUGUAUCGGUGGUGUUAUUCAAUGUUUCCCUACACCGCCAGUUAUUGGAGAAGUGUGUGUUACGACACCUUAGAUUCCUAGUGUCUAGCCGGGUGUCUAGACAAACUAUGGGCUGUAUUAAUUCAACCGCCCAAAACGGCAAGAGAGGAUCUGGACUCUGAGGAGUGCACCUGUGUUUCGGCCCUGCCCCCCCUAACAACAUCCUUUUAAAAUUAAUGAGAAUCUAAAGAUUCUAAAUAACCAUAACUGUAAAAAUUUAAAUUAAAUUAUUGACAUGAUGUGGUUUAAAAGCGGACAUGUGACUGACUCAUGAACAAUUAUGUAAGAUAACAAUGUCGGUACAAACUGUAUUUAUAAAAUGGUCCUUUUAGAGAGAAGGCGUAAAACCUUAAUUAUAGUAUAGUUUAGCAUAUCUAUAUAUUUUGCUAAUUUGGGUUUAAAAACACAUAGUGUUUCACAUAGUGAAAAAAGUGAACAAAAUACCCUGGACAUUCUAAGUUGGUAUCUGUACUACACUUGCGUUGAACCACCUGAAUCCUUUUUUUUUGUUCCUGUCACUGAGACCCUUUUUAUAUGAGUUUCAUUGAGCAAAGCACUCUUGUAUUAAUGUUAUAUAAGUUAAUGAAAUACAUUCAAUCAUGAAUACAAUAUGCACCAUUAGACCGACUUUGUUGUCUCAUUGUGAAAAAAGAGACCGAACGAUAAAGCAACCCAUAUCCAGACAACAAUUAUCCACUCUUCUAGCUCCAAUAACAAUGUACUGUAUCUUAGGCCAAUGUAAAUUCAUUUUCACAUAUCAGUAUCAGUAUUUCGAAGGCAUGCAGUAUGUCCAGAAAAUGGAUUAAUGAGACAGUGACUUGUGCAUGAGUUGGUGUUUCGUGUAUUACUGAGAAAUGACUCAUUCCUCACAGGUAGAUAUGUGGGCUUGGUGAGUCAAGCCACAGUUUCAAAUGUUAUUAAAUGCAGUCGCAAGAGAGAAAGAAAAAAAGAAACGCUCAACAGCCGGAGGUAUAGGUGUUCGUGUAAGCUUCAAAGACGAUGCAGGAGUCAUUUUAUUUUCCUUUGUUGUUGAAGUCUUGUGUCUCUCCUUUAUCAACAGAUGGCUGGUCAGAAUACUUUUGUACUGUCUGAUACCAGCUUCUCAAUAUUUAGAUUGUUCUCCUUCCCGUUGUGUUAUGUCAUUGGAAAUUGUUGACAAUAUAAAAUAGCUAAAAAAAUGUGCCACAAAGAACAAAUACUAAAUCUUUUAGGGACUGGAGAGAAUUGUAUGAAUCUUGUUGUCUUGAUUUACAGUCCGACCUGGCUGGAGGAACAGUAAAGAACGGUACUUUAAGGGCCUCCUUGUUAUGGUUUGUCUUCGUCCCCGAGUGCACGACACCAGACAGAGUUUACGUUCAGCCAAAAACACGGCGUAGUUUAUUCUUUCACAAGAAUUAAAGAGCGUAAGGUUCCGAGGAACAAACAAAAAAAAACUGCCUCCUUAAUUGGCAGGGGAAAACAAAAGAAACAACUCAAAAUCCCUUAGUCCAUGGGCACUCACAGUUCAACGGAAAAAAGGAAACUCUCAAUAAUCCAAAGGGAAAAGUCUCUCGUAGGUAUCCACAGGGAAGUCUCCAAACAACGACCGACAUCUCGGGAAACAGGGCACGAACUCGAACUUUUCCAUUUGUUCCUAUUGCACAAUCACAUUGGAAGCGUUCAUCAUUUUACAUGUCAAUAGUUGUACGAGGGAUGAAUAAAUUACACAAAGUAGGUGGGUUCUUUCAGCCCCACGUAGCUCACAGCCCUUUGUGAAAUUGAUAAAUCUAUUUGAACUACUAGUCUUUAAUGGAAGAGCAGACGUUGUGACUAAAUAUUUGGCACUAGCCAUCUACCGAGCAACAUGUUCACAAUAAGUUACAAAGCCAAAACACACACACACACACACACACACACACACACACACACACAAUAGUAUCACAGUUACUUAGUUUAUGGACCCAUUUUUCAAUUCUCAACAAUUGGUUGUGGAUUGACCUUCGAUGUGUCAGCAAAAACAAGCUCAACCACAUUCAGCGGCAAGAGGUUAAGGAAUGGCCUGUGAUUGAGCACAGCUUUCACACCUUAUGAUUAAACACAAAAAACUGACACCUCGUGUUUGAUGAACAAUCUAUUAUUCUUUUAAUAAAUCUUUCAGUAGAGAGCGUGAUAGACAAGGCAGAUCAAGUAGGUGAGGCCCAAAGCAUAACUCUGCUGAAUAGUAAACAGCAUAUAUUUUACAUAAUCAGACUGUAUGCACUAGAGGGCAGGUGGGGGAUCGGGGGAUGGGGCUUCUGAUUUACAACUUAUUUUUUCUGUUUAAAAAACUUUAUCUUUACCCAAAGUUAACAGUAAAAAAAACACUCAGGGUCAUCAAGUCAAGAAUAAUGUUUUUAUUCAUCGGAGCGUGUUAUGUUGAUUAAGAUUCCUACAGUUAUUUUUAUCGCCACAGUUGGUAAAUAGAUAGACAGAAAUAUAAAUGGAUGUCCCAGGGACAGGUCAUGAUACAGACUAUGAAAAACGAUUAGUCUACACUCUUGUCCAUCCACAACAGAUAAACAAACAAAAGGUUGUCUUUCUCGAGACAAUAACAGCUCCUUUCUGCCCACUGCAUAAUGAUAAUUAUUUCAUUUCCUAAUGCUCACCUUGAGGUGGCAAACAAAGAAUUCUAAUGAAGUGUCAGUAACGUAUUGUUUUGAACAUCUCUUAACAAGAUAUCACUCAAUUGUAUGCAUAUUGCCACUGAGAGAAACAGAGUUGGGUUUGUGAGCGGGACCUCCUGCGUUGGCUCUGUGGGACGGGUCUCCUUUCGCUUCCCACAGUGGGAACCAAAGAGGGAGAAGCAGCGUUCAGUUUUUACACUCUAAAUAUCUGGAAUUCACUUCCAGAAAGCUGCAGGUCUGCUUCAUAUUAAGACGGAAGACAUUUGUGUUUGCUGCUGCUUUUAAUUUAACCAAAUUGAAGGAUGAAGAGGAAGAGCUUUUUACUGUUUAUUUCAUAAACUACACUGCAACUUUUAUUCUAUUUUAAAUUUUAUUGUGUUGUCUGUUUUCAGUUAAUGCUUAAUGGUUUUUACAUUGUUUUCCCUUACUUGUGCCUUAGGUUUUGAUAGUUUUAUGUGAAGCACUUGCCGUAUUGAAACGUGCUAUACCAAUAAACUCGCCUUGCCGGGCUUAGGGUGCAUUCUAGUGAGUGAAAGCCAACUGCAUUUCACUCUAGUUUUGGAACUACCUCUUUCUGCUUGGCAUUUUGCCGCCCUGGAUUUUAUUAUUACUGUCUCUUUUUAUGUAGGAUGCGUGCAACCUUGCUGCUACGUUUAUGUAAAGAUGGACGACCUUACAUUAUCCGCUGUGGUGAAGAGGCUAAAUGGGUCUGGGGAUGGUAGUGACGUAGUCUGUUGGUUCACUGCUUUGGUCCAAACUGACAUACGUCAAUGACUAUGGGAUGGAUUGCCUCUCCACACAGUCAUUGUUCCCAGAGGAAAAAUCCUAUUGACAGUGGAGAUUUCUCGACAUGUCCUUCAGUGUCACUGGCAGGUCGAUGUGAUCACUUCAAAAUGAGGGAGUUAUCUUAACAUCUACAUCAUGGAUUGGCUCAAAAUGUGGUACAUACAUUCCCAGACAAUUGAUCCUAGUACCUUUAGUAAUCCCCUGAAUGUCCUCGAGUGGGAUUGAUUGCUGUGAGACUAACUAUGUUUCCCAGUGGAUGAAUACCUUUGACGGGUAUUACGUCAACACUAGUUUGAUCAGUUUGUGGAAUUAUAUAUCAGUUAGCAUCAAAUGUACUUUUGAAAAAGUUACCCAUCGAAAAAGAUAAUUAAUAGGGUAUGAUCGUGCUAGCUACUUGUGGCAUGGCUGUCGAUGCAAAUAUCUACAAAUCAGCAGGACACUGUUACAAAAGCCUACAGGCGUUGAGAUUCCCCAGAUGUCACCAAGAAUCACAAAUAGAGGGCAAAGUUAUUGUUGCCAUCUGUGUGUACAACAGUGGUGAUUUCAGUUAUGGUUGGUUAAAUGGUUUUAGUAUGGUUUGUGAUAUCAUUGGAGUUAAGCCCCUCUUUCAUUCUGGAAGGAAUACUCACAUUGGGUUUUGAGUGUCGAAUACUUGCAACUAAAAAGUAUUUCAAACUACUGUUAUUAGUCAGUUUAAAAAUUCAUCUUUCAAAGUUGAACCCAUCCCAACAAACGAGAGUAAAAACAAAGGCUGUCUUGUAGCUGCUGAGUUGGUCGUGGCUGCACGGCAGUAUUUCUAUUAGUAUACCAGGUGUAUUUCUGUAACUCGUGUCAGUCACAGAGGGGUUUAAGGCCAGGACAUUGCUCUAUGGGUCAACAGCGCUAACUACCCAGGCAGGGUGCCAUGCGAACAAAGGUUAACCGCAGGGUGGCCUUUUACGGAAGUAGGGUCGGAGAAUUUAAUGGGCUUCUUCCUUUUGGGAGCCGACCAUUUUUUUUUUUUUAAUUACUCUCAGGUUGUAAACAAGCAAAAAGCAAACGGUGAAAUUAAGGCAAUCCCGUCACGCAUGGCGGAGUUAAACAUGUACACAGUACACCUCUCAUUGUGGUACUUCCAAAAAAGUCAUUAUCUUAUCAAAUAUGAAGACAAGCGAUUUUCUUCAAUUUCCAUUGCAGCUUUUCUCGAUGUCAGCUUUGCUUUUCUUCGGUAAAAGAUGACAUUUUGCAUCUUAAGGUUUGGCAUUUCGCCAUGAUAUUAAAAGUUCUCCUAAUAUUCCCAUUGAGAUCCAAUUUCCAUAUAUCUUUUAAGCUGUACACGGUUCACUGAAUCGGAAACAAGCUGAGGUUUCGCUACUUAUCAAUUUUUUUUUGAAAAUAACACUUGGGUCCCUCCCUGAAUGCAAGGGGGUAAACAGAAAGAUGCAUAAUUGUUCAGGCUGUGCCCCACUAUACAUGUCCCUAACACUAUCAAAGCUGAAUUUGAGAAUCAAGGCCAUACUUGUAUUUGUUUUUAUUUAUGUAUACUUUUAAUGCAAUGUCUUACAAUUCCCACAGCAGAAGGCGAUUGGCACUUCUGUCUACUUUAGGUUGGCGUUUCUGUUCUCACACAGGGCUUCCCCAGGGAUUUUUCUAAUGGAAGGUAAUUCAGAGGAGGCCAGUGUCUCAAAGGCCUGACUGAAUCUACAAUAAGCCAAACAAGGUAUUCACUUUUGCCUUUGUAGCACAACAUCAAAUUUAAAAAAGGAAGCCUCUUCUAUUUAUAGACAAGGGAAGUCUUAGCACAACCUUCAAAUCCAUGUCUAAAAGCAUUUUGCCUUAUUUUAUUCAGUUUAAUGUUUAAUGUUUGUAUUAUCCCAUUUCCCAGUAGGAGGGUAUUGAUACUUUUUUUGCGUGAUAAUCCAAAGAUUCUUAGGGACAAAACUGAUUUCCUUGGAUAUGUAUGUAACAUUGACAAGACAGCAUACUAUAAAGUUGAUGGUGUGACCCUUUCAGCAAAAACGGUGCUUAUUUACAAAUCCAGCAGGUAUGGUGCAAGUUUACCGUAUUUGUUUGAAUCAUUUCUUUGGACACCUGAUGAAUGGAAGUUCAAUAUUCACUGGUGUCUAUCUCCUGAGGGAAAUAUCUGCUCAUUUAAAUGCUAAAUGCUGCAUUCUAUUCGCCGGCUAGUCGCAAACAGUCUCCUUGUUGGUGCUGCGAAGCUUUAAAAGUUAGCAAAUGCAGGUGUCUUAUUUGGGUACUAAAUAGACAUAGAGCCUAUAGAUAGAAAGAACCUGAGGAAGUAAAAUAUUUUGUAUAUUGACUUCUGUUUUGAAAUUAACUUAUGAUAUUGACUUUUUAAAUAAGAGUAAUUUUCUUUGACGGAUGUGUCGGGUGAAAAACCCUGUUAUGGAAUCCGACAGAACGGUUGGAAACCAAAACCACUACAUGGUUCACUGCAGUUGCCGCCAAGGUUUAAUGAUGUCAAGUCAGGCGUACUUAUAAAGCAGGGACGGCUCCCUGGGAGAGGAGAGCAACUCUAGCUGCUUUAGCCCCCUUGUGUAACUAAUGUAUGACUGCAUGCGCCUACCAUGAUGUGAUCUGACAAUGCAGCGCAGUGCUUUUGCAACAAGAUAUGGAUAAGUUGUACAUCAGAGCCCAAGCACAGCAUGGGUAUGACUCUCAAGUCAUGUAGCUUGAUGUAGCCUGACAACAUAGGAUUAUAUGUAAAUAUACAUAAGGAAUGGUAUUGGACGCAGGGAGCAGCACACAGCAAGUAGGGAAUGGUUGGGUGGCUGGUGCCAGGGGGCUACAUAGACCGUAUCAUGAAGGCAGCUAGUGGAGCAAUCAUGUAUACAUCACCCUGUAUUACACCAUCCUUUGCCUGCAAUUGUGUCCUUUGAAUUGAAAAGGCAAUGAAGACAAAAGUGAUGCCAUGCAAUUAUUUCCAACCAAGCAAAUUAAACAACACGUCAACAGCUGUAACUUUAAUCAUUGAUCCAAGGACACACAGAAAUGUAAUUUUUGCGAGGCUAAUGGCAUAAUAUAUGGCACCUUGUCUCAAGGUCAAGAGGGAAAUGUAUUCAGCAAAAACCCUGCACUAAGUACCUACAUAAUAUUGUGUUUUCUGGAUGGUAAAGGACGCUGUCAUAAAGGCUGUGUGUAAAACAAAUUGCAAUCUGUCUGUCAGCUCAUGUUAAAUGGAGUGCACCAUCGAUGAGACAUGCAAUCUGGCGUCUGCUUUUGUUAGAGGCAAGCGGUCGCUUAUCAGUCAUGGCAUUCAAUAUAGAUUUUAUACAAUGCAUACAUUUUGUGGAGGAUGGGAGCAAGGUAAUACAUAUUGUUCCUGUCAUUAUUGGACCACAUCAUGUUAUUGACCAGAAAAUGUCAGAAAUUAACUUCAGAAAGAAUAUAUUGAUAUUGUGAAAUAAAUAAAUCCCAUUUGCAUUGAUAGAUACACACAGGAUUCAGGUUGUAUUUAGCGAAAUGCCUAAAGUUAGAAACGUUCGGCCUAAACCAUUGAUUGUAAAAAUAGGAUUCUAACACUGUAAGCCAUGCAAAUCAUUUGAAGUGUGUUCACAGACAAAUAUUCAGUAUUCCAAUUUCCCUUUCACCCCAGCUGAUGUGGAGGAAUAAACUGCCAAUCCGUUUGUAGUUUUUCUUCAUGCUUUUUAUAUUACAUCUACGUGAACCUUUUCUGGAUUUACUUUCUUAUCCUUUUUACCAACCAAGAGCAUUUAUUAUUCUGCCAGCACUGCAUUCAAAAGAGAUGCUGUGGCAGGGAGGUCAAACAUGAAUCAGAGCGGCUCUCUAAUAUAAAAAUAUCGCCUCAAAGCAGUCAGCGGCUGAGGCAGUUAAAGAUAUGGGUAAACGCCAAGAGCUGUGUUUGCAGUAGUGCUACGGGCUAAUUGGCGGCUGCAAUACUACGUUCAAAAUGAAGCUACUGUUGCUAUUAAUAAGUAUUGUUCUUGUCAUUGCCAUCAAAUACUCAAAAUCCAGUCCUGUGAUUAGAGCCACAGGUGUUUAGCUUCUGUUAAGAAAUCCAUUAUUGCUUCUAGCUAUGCCGCCAUGUAUUACUCUUGUUCCCUCGGCUACUGAUCCCCCGUGUUGCCAUCAUGAAUAAGAAUAUGUUCUCAGUGAACUCAUCCAGCAAAUUAAGGAUUAAAAAAAAAAAAUCAUCCAUCAUGUCCUCUUUUGUUAGUUUGUCGUCCUUCACAACGGAAGCAUGUGCUCCUUUUAACAUCUCACUCGACGAUCACCACCACUUUACACCGCCACCUUUUACAGGGAGAAAAUCAGGCGGGGGAGCAAAAAAAAAAGAAAGAAUAAAACUGCAAGUGACAUAUUGUUUGGAUGACAGGUUGAGUGUCAUUGCAUGAAAGGAAACCUGCCUUUUUGUUAGCACACUCACUCUUCCCACCUGUGCUCUGUCAGGAUAGACACCGGGCCCCUCCGUGACUCCACACGCCCGAUGCAUACUGAUCCAACCAGACACCUCCGUCGCCCACAGACCAGUCAGAAGUGGCAGCCUGCCGCCUUGCGUCGCCGCGUGGCACUAGGGCCGUUUACUUUCUGUAAACGUGGCUGGUACAUUGCGAGGGGGAGAGGUCUUGUGGUUUUAUGUCUUUCCGUCUCCAAAGACUGGACGGGUGGCGCGUGAGAGGAAUGCAUAAUUUAUUACCAGCGAGGCCUUGUAAGUACAUCUUUGUGACACAUCGAGGAAGUGUCUAAAAGCAGGCUGCGGUUUUAUGUAGCAUUUCCACACAUCUACGGAGUGCUCUGUCAUCAAAGCAUGUGUCAUUAUUAUGCUUUUAGGGGAACAUUCACAUACCUCAGAGUUUAAUGUGCUUGUUUCUAUAGUAGCCCUGAUGAUGAUGAAAGCUGAACACUUUCUUGAUAAAUAUUUACCCCCCGUAAAUAUUUGAGGACAACAUGCUGUGUCAUUUUAAUCAUAUUGCACCUUUUAAUUAUUUUUUUUAAGUCUCACAAAAUCCAUUUUUGAAGUGUGCGAAGAUGCAUUUAAUUUUCCCUCCGCUAUUAAUCUGUGGCCCAAUGAGAUGAUUAAAUACGCUGUAAUAAAGGCUUGUCGCAGUCACAACUCUGUCGUUACUCAUGAAGGAGCUACAUUUACAUUUAAAUCUGUUCAUGGCGGUAUGUUCUUAUCUGCCAAAGGCUUAGGCUGCAGGGCAGGACCGGUUCAAGAGCAGAAGCAACAUGUGGAGGUCUGUCUUACUCCUGUGUGCAGGUUGUCCAGGAAUCCUGCGUGAACUGCCAGGUUUUCACUCUUUGGUGAGAGUAAAUACACAUUAUUUUUUUUAAAUAAGAGAUGAACGAGCCAGUAAAAGCAUUGUAACCCCUUUUAUAGUAAAUGCGCUGUGUGAUUACAGGGGUGGGUUAUGGGGGCUGGUCGAUAUAAUAGUCUACUAAUUGAAUUGUGUAUAUUUUGAGCGUCUAAAAGCACAUACUUAUUCAUUUGAAUUUAGGCAUUCCAUUUAUCUCCACUCAGAAUUAAGAUGUCAUUUUUAAUGAUUGGAUCCACCCUUGAGAGAUGACACCAAAGCAAGGGAACAUUUAGGAAGGAGACAGUGAGGUUGCUUUACCCUUGGAGUAUGCCAAUUCAUUUGACCUUCGUUUUAAAGGGAAUCUCAUUGGGCCAUGUAAAGAGAAAUGACUUGUGUUAAUGCAGAAGUAUGCUGCUUGAAUACAGAAGAGACUCAAAAUAUGUUCGGCUUACAGCAUCCCUACUAAUAACGCAGCCCUGCCAUAUAGGUACUUUAGGAAGAGAUAAAUGGAUGGUGUCUGUUUGUCCAGCACUCCAAUGCUACAUCCUUUCUCUCUCUCUCUGUCUCUCUUCCUCUGUCUUUCUCGCGCACUUUAUUGCAAGCAUAUUUUCCUGCUUGCUCGUGCACACAUAAACACUCGCUCAAAAAAAAAAAGGGAAAAAAAACAAAUGUGUAUGGAAGGGGGCUCUGAAAUGCAUGAGUUAAGUUUUAAUAAGGGAGAGAGGUAAUUUGAAAAGUCUUUGGAGGUGUUUGGAAAUUUAUCAAUAACAACCAGCUGGGAUUUCAUGCAUGGGAGCAUUUGGUGUAAUUGCCUGCACUUCCCUGAUAGAGGUUCCUCUUCAAUAACAAAAAUAUGCCCUUUAAUGCAAAAAAGACUGACACUACUUAGGGGCUCUUCCUUUUUAGUUUUGUCGAAAACGGCUCAAGAGAGGCGAUUGUUGUAGUUAUUGUAUAUUUUUGAUCACUAACAGUCAAGCCUCUUAAUCUAUUUCACCUACAGUCUCGUUCUGCCAACCUUUGCUGCUUGCAAGAUAUUCACAAAAAAGAAUAAAAAAAUAUAUUAAGUAUUUUUCUAAGAUUUCUGUGUAGUUCAAAGGCAUUCAUUUGCAUUCAGCAGCCCAAAUUUAAAGCCUCUUCUGCAAACAACAACAUUCCUCCCUGUAACCCCCUUAUUCCCUCGGCUACAGAGGAGCACCCCUUUUUUUUGUAAAGUAUCACAGGUUCUUGGUAGUUGCAUUACCCACCAAUGGAAGAUGUGCUCAUGUAAAUUCGAACCUGUCCUGUGUCCCAUUAGUGUGACUCUCUUCUACAGCUUUGUGAAAUCUUAAGAGAAGGUGACCGGACAGUAGAGCCAAAAAACGCAUCAACUUGAUCUGUUUGCUUUAUAUUAACAUGGUUCAAGCAAAUAAAGUGCCAAUACGAGCCCUAACCACAGCCAUCAAAAGUGGCAUAGAUGGAUUCGUUGGGUUUUAAAUAAUGAGAAAGCUAAGCUUCUCUCGCUGGCAGUUUAUAUUUCACUUAAAGGCUGCCAUUGUUAUCAGCCCAAUCAAUAAAAUGACUCAUGGAGCAUAAAAUAGACCAAAAAGCUUUAAAGUUAUGAUAAAUGUUGGGGUUUUAAAUAGUAAGCUAGAGAGCUUUCAUUGGUACAAAAGGGUUCGGAUUUUAGGGGGUAACAAGUUUUACUCAGCAAAUCUGACUGGUUAAAUUUGUAGACCUGCGCCUUGGAGCCAGCCCCGGAUCUGCAACGAUCUGGGUUUGUUUUCUCCCCUUUUUUUCACAUUGUUUCUUUACACCAGAAUGAUAAGGUUACGGUCAAUAGCAGCGUAAUCAUCCAAACCCAAGAUUGGAUGUCUGUUUGUCUGACUGUCAAGAGAGAGUCAUGCAGGGAGAGGCGAGUGCUCUCUGCUGCGCAGGGAACAAGCUCAGGACCUCAUAGUGUUUUACAGAGGUAACCCAUACCACCACCUCCACUAUCAAAAUUGCUAAGGCGGAGAUUGCUGCGGGAGGUUGUGUCUGUCUCCACGUCCCAGUUCUAUAUUUUCUUCUUUGCCCAGGCCGCUCCACUGAUCUCAAGCCAAAAGCUGUGGGAAAAAUUCUGGCAGCUCACAGAGGAUGAUACCUAGAGGAGGGGAAAUUCAACAAUCCCCCUCAGGGUGCUGGUGAAAAGGAGAGUAAAGAAGGAAGAGCGAGAGAGGUGAGGGCUAAUGAAAAAUGGACCGGAAAAUGAAGACAGAGCUACAGUCUCCUCUUGUCGUGAUGUUCUCCAAGAUAAGUACCGGCUAAGUAUGUUGUCUUGUCCACUGAAACAUAUUUCUGACGGCACGACGAGCUCCCGGGGAGGUGUCGUGGAGCUGCUGCUAACCAUUUUGGUCCUGCGUACCUUCGGCUUGUUAACUGAGCUAGAAAUUCCUCAACCAAGUUUUAUGGAUGUUGUGGUAGUGGCGGUCUUAGUGGCCACGGAGACGCCCCCGUAACUGAAAGGUCAUACAAGCAGUUCAUCAUGUAUCCAUCAGUAAGCACGUAUGCAGUCAAAGUGCCCAAAUAUCAAAAUGUUCAUAAUAAAUACACCGUUUGUUAAUUAAUUAGAUAAUUGAUUUGUGUGCAAUGCUAUUUCAGAUAAUCAUCAGUCAAAACUGUAUGGUUGAUUCAAUCAAAGGAACUUCCUUUGCUUCCAACAUGUUUCUGUGUUGCUCUUAAUAUGACUAAUGUGGAAAAGGUCAUGAACCCGAAACCUCUCGUAUAGGUCCCAUGACUCGAGACAACAUAUUGAAUGCUAUUGAGUAUUCUUCUUUAAGUGCACGCGCACUGAAAUUCUUGAAUACACUACACAGUGGAAUUAUUAGAAGAGGACUGUUAUCUUAGACAGCCCAAGAUGAAAGUUCAAUGCUUCAUUUUGUGUGGUGCGGCUCAUUUCAAAGAGCGAUUGUUCUCUCCAGUCCGGAAGAGGGAAAGCCAUUUAAUCCCAUGCAAUGCCCUGCUCAAAAGCCUUGCCUUUGCAAUAUGUCUCCAUGGCAAAGCUGCCAUCACUCUAAAAGACAUCAAUGUUUCUGUGCCAUACAAGUGUUGCGUUUUUGUACCUGGUUGUUCGUUUUCUAAAGUGGAGGCAAGCUUACCUAAGCAAAACUCAAUAUAGAUUAUGGGUUUAGCUUCUCCAUAGUGUGUAUCACAUCAUUUCCUCAAUGUGCGGCGAGACUGCAAUGUAACACUAUCAUGUUGGCUAAUAUUAUUACCAAGUAUGUUGAUGACAACAUUGAUUAUUCAAUGAACCAAAAUUAAAAAUUCAUUAUUUUCUUUUAGAACACACACAACAACACAAAAUGUGUAAUUAGUGAUAUUGUUGUGUUUAGUUUCCUAGAAGCCCAUUUCCACCACAAAAACUUGAAAAGUCGAAAUUAUGACUUAAGAAAUGCGCACGCGCAGGCUCCUUCGUUGUUUGGUACAUUGACUUUUCAAACGCUCUUGGCGACUUCUUGUCAAAAGCGACCUUAUCUGGUUUUAUUGGGAGACAUUUUUGUGGUGUCUGACGUGACUUGACUGCGAGCCGCCUCCAGCUGCAGUCAGAGCACAGAGGAGACACACGUCACGUCUAGACUGAAAUCAACGAGCGCAUGCGCAAAGCUGCUGCUGAUUCUGCAGCAUCUUUCCUCAUUGAGAAAUUAGCAACACUGGUUCAAUAAAGAGAGAACUCUUUUCAAUCGUUUCUAAUCACGAUAACUACGAAAUAAAUACCGUAUACCGUAUAAAUAACGUAUUUUAUCUCGUUCGAAGUUUGAUUUAUUUCGGACUCGAAGAUAAUUUAGACUCCGCUAAAAGUCGGACGUCCCUGUUUGUUAUGAGAGUGGAGUGAGUGGGUGCAAGCAGUGCUGUAGUGGUAAAAUUAGAGGUGGGUAAACUCUGAAUUUUGUGAUCAUACAGACCUCGACGCGAUGCGAAGCAACGCAACACAAAGCGUCGCGACUCUGUAAGGCUGUCCUGGCUAUAUUGCAUUAUGUUAUCAGUAAAAGUCAUAUACAAUCAAUGAUAAUGAAUACAUGUGUUAGUAGUUUGUAGUUUAUUAAAUUUAAGAAAACAGUAAAGACAAGUAUGUCAACACAACACAACAACACAAUUGCAGAUUAAGAGCUAUCUACAUACGGAGUCUCCUUUUUACAGUAGUGCCCAGAGGGCCUCCUUGUCCUCCACGUCCGGUCCUGCCUUGCACAGAGGAGCCAUGAACCCCAGAACGUGUUCCUCUGUGCUUCUCCUCUCUCUAUUCGACCUGGUGUUUCUCCUCUCCCUGUACUCUCUGCAUCAUUGCCUGUCCUCUCACUGCAUGAAAAAAUAUGUUGAAUUUAAGAGUUAACCAAUUAAGCAGCCUGUCAAUUACACUGACAAAAUAAGUUAAAGGAACACUCAUGUACUACCUAUGUCAUCAUAAAUAGCCUACACAGCAUGUUUUUUUUCACAUUGAGAACUGACAUGUUUUCUAACCUACGCGUCAGAAGCAGCGAACACAGAGCGCGCGACUACUCCCCCUCCCCUCCCCCCUACCCCUCCGUCGGUCUUUCCGCCCGCAACAACUACUACACCCCCCCCCGUCGGACCUUCUCAACCGGUCCGCGAAAUAUUGUCUGACAUGAAACCGGUCCGUGAGGUAAAAAAGGUUGGGGACCACUGGGCUGAUCCACAACGUGUAUGUGUUUACACACCUCCUGGAUCCUGAUAGGUGUCGCUGCUGCAGCCGCAAGGCACUGAUUGGAUGGUCACAGACCGUAAUACAGCGCAGAUGAAAAGGACGUUUAUAUGUUCAACAAUAGGAAACGUAGUCUUAGCUGUUUUAAAAUUACACCAAGUUUAUUUGGGAUUAUUCCAACGGAAGAAUACAAGGCGCAGGGAACUUUGAGGUGCGUAAACGCUAUUUAUAGGUGCGUAAACGCUAUUUCCAAAAUUCUAACCCUUCUUUCUUUUUUUUCUGUGGCGGAAAUGGGCUUCCAUAAUAUUCUCUAUUGAAGAAAGAAAAAGAAAAAAGAACUAGGGCUGUCAAUAGAUUCAAAAACAACUAAUUAAUCACACAUACUGAAAUUCAUUAAUCUCGAUUAAUGGCGAUUAAUGAAUGUUGUUCUUGUUGUUAAAUGUUUGUUUUUCUUCUAAAGACUGCAUCUUAGAAGUAAUCAGUUUAGGAAGUGUGUAUUUUAGACCCUGUUGUUUAAUUGUUAAUGUUAUUUUAAACUAAACAAAAAUACACACAUUUGAUCAACUUGGAGGCAGAAUUCCACCUGGUGGAACAUGUUGAACUAGCGACUAUUCCUGCUGUCCUGUACUUUGCUCUCAACUCUCCAUAUUUUAAUGCCUGUGUUUGAAGUGACAACAAUCUCCCCACAUUUAACCAGGACGUUUCAAACCACGGCCUCAGUGUUCUUGCCCUGUUCCCUUUUUUAAUAAAUGGUAAAUGGGUCCGUUCAGUUUUUUAACAGUUUUGUGGGAAUUUUGUGAUGCUCAUUCAGGAUAUUCAUUCCUCCAAAAGAUGAAAGAUGAGGUAAUUUUUGCUUGCAAUGGUCACAUUGCUGGGAUUGUGUCUUAAAUUGAAGCAACAUUAAACUAAGUGCUUAAAACCUUUGUAAGUUCUUUUAUCCAUUUAAGAUACGAUAAAAAUGCAAUGCAAAGCUUUAUUCUUUGCCUACUUUGAUCAGCCGGCCAUUAAGGAGGAAGUGCUUUAGAAUUGUAUUGAUCAACCAAAAGCAGAGGCUCUUGUCCCUGAUUCUUGCUUCAAAGUCACUUUUAAAAGCCAUCUUCUUUUUCAUUAAUAAGUAUAUAAAGGGGGCCUAAUUUAGGACUAACAUAAAACAGGUCAACCCUACGCAACCAUUAAGUUCUAUAUCAAUGCUGUGAUUUUCUCAUUAGCACACUAAAUAUAAAAUGCUGUCAAAGCACCAAAUUAAUCUGCAGUUUGUUUUAAUUAGCUUGGGCCAUCUUGUUUUCUUCGCUUAUUGUUUGAUAUAGGUCAGACAGCAAAGUGUUGUCAAUACAUUGUCCAUGUUAGCUGUGCUGACAGCUUGUUAGCGCUCACGUAAUAUAUGCAUCGGGUCGAGCCUACUAUCUGAACCGUUGUUCAUUACACAUGGCAGUCUUUCUUACUGGCUUUCACUGCAGAAUAAUUGGUCCGUUUUGUAACUGGUUCUGGUGUAAAUCAGCACGCUUUAUCUUCGAAGGUAAUUGCCAGGGAACGUGUGGUGUGUUAUCAAUGAUGAGCAACAAAGUCCCACACUGUAAUUUAUGCGGUUCAAAUAUAUGGACACUAGGAAACGUAUUAAAAAUAAAAUUGAAAAAAGAGGCAUUGUUCAGAGGCUCCAUCAGUGCCUGAGCACAGCGGCCAGAGUUCAGCCAGUCAUAAUGUCUCUAUGAGGCGAUCGUUUUUGCUGUACCACUUCUUACAUGUUGACUGCGUUCACACACUGGACAAAUGUAUCAACAGUCCCUGAGGCCUAAUUCUCCUCUCCUUUUGAACCCUGUCCAGGAGAAGCUAAUUGCUGGCUUCAAUAUCAAGUUGUAACCAUAAAUAGUCCCUCCUACCAGUGGGCUGCGUAUUUGCAUUUGUACAAUUAUCUCUCCCCGGCAAGUGUUUUCAUCAGAUUAGGAAUUUGACAUGCCUCAACAUGUGUCUGGGAGUAGAGAAGCCCUUUAGUAGGAUUCCCAAAGGACAAUUUCACACUCCCCAUGCUCUUCCUCAAAACAAGUGGUGGAGGUAUUUGAAUUACAGGAAAGACAGAGUAAUACAUCAGGCCCCGAUCAACGCACUCCAUCUGAGUCAGCACUAUCGGGCAGUAUUUCUCAGAGAUGAUAGAGGAGAGUGAAAUCUUUUGAAAACAAAUUUGUCAUGGGGGAUUAUUUUUAUCUUUAUGAUGACCUUGCAGUAAAAGAAACAAGCAGCAAAACAUCAUAUUAGCAAACCUUUCAACUACUUCCCACUGCUUGAUGAUACAUUCUGAUUCACCGGACCCCCUGCCUCAUGAAUCUGGAAGGAUAUGAAAUAUGUAUGAAAAAGAUUCAAAUUAUAUCAAAUGGAUCUAUUUUUAUUGAGUGAAAGUUUUCCUCUCAAAUUAUUCAAUACCCAGCUCGUGUUUACUUGAACCUCUUCCACAAACUUACUUUUGAACUAUUUUGUCCUCAGCUACCAAUGAACGUCUGAUUUCUUCCUAUCCAUUCAAGCGUUUAAUAUUCUGUUGUGUUGUGGGGCAAACCAUUAAGAGAUGGGAUUUAUUCUCAUCUUCAGCCCUCUGCUCCCUGUUGCUCUGCCGCCUGUUGGAUUCGACUUUGGCCAACAGUCUGAGUAUGAUUUAUGAUCAAAAGGCAUCUCAACCUGAGAUUUAUUAUCCAUUACUGCUGUCCGUCAGGCAACAUUACAUUAUACUCCACUGUUUAUCUCAGUUUGCCAGCAUUAGGAUGCACCACCAGAAGACAUUUGCUGUAUACACAGACAUAUCUUUAAGGGACAUUGCAGAGUCAGAAUUUCUUUCUUUUCAUCCCUCAUGUAACCUUUUCAUCCAGUGUCAGCUCUGCUUAAAGAUGCAGCGGAUUUCAGUCAACGGAGAAAAAUCUUUGUGACCCUAAAUUACAUCUUGUUGCUCCGUAUUUCAUAUUUCACUGUAGCAAAAGGCUUUUAUAUUGCGACUCUUUGGGUUCAAAGUUCAAAACCAACCGAGAUUCCAGUAAUUGGUCCUUAUUAUCGUUUGUCUCAGGCUUUUGACAAUUGUUAUCUGCAGGUCAUUUUAGCUCCAUGCUAAGAUGUUAAUCGUUGCACUAAAAGCUCUGUGCAAUCUGCGCACUAAAUUUAGAACUAUGCUGCCUUGAAAUGCAGUUGAGGGAAAUUCACCAUGCCUUAAUUUUCCUUCCACUGAGAUUACAACUGUUUACAUGCUUGAAUGGUUCAGCAACUGAGUGUUUGCAACCUGUUCAAAUGCAGUAUGGCUGCUGAGCUGCACACAGACAAUACAUAACUCUAUUCCUGCUGCACAGCAUUGACUUUAGUGCAUUUUAGAAUUGAAUACUUCAAUGAAACCUUUCGUUUCUACUUUUUGGAUUUGCAGUAGUUCAAACAAAGGAAAAGAAGAAAAAGAGAAAAGAAGUUAGUAUUUAUCCCAUCUAUUGGAUUUUGUCUAAAAACGCGUUGACUUGGUGCCUUUAAAUUGCUGGUGAGUAUUUCUUUACAGCCCGCAUACACAUCAUUAAUUAUUGAAUCCUAAUCGGAAGCAGAUUCCACGACGACGACGGCGGCGUGAUGAUUGGCUUUUGGACAGAUCCAAUCCUGGCUGUGACGUGUGCCAUUUGGCUCGGUCGUAGACGGUAAUGGAGUGUUUGAGUGCAUUGAUUCAGAAUUUCUCCUCACUUGUUACCAGGACAACAAGCUCCUUCAGUGUGCCCAUUUAGUAAAUAGUGAGGAGGAUGGAUGGAAAGGAGGAAGGCAUGCGAUGUUUGCUCUCUCCUGGGAUUCCACGUGGAGAUGGAGGGAGCAGAUGUUGAGGUGGAGCCCUUCUCUUCUCGGCCCGUUUCUGGAGGUGUGUUUGGUCAUUAGCAAAUACUCCAUGCGAGUUGGCAAAUGCCAUGGGAUCAAGAUUUUCUUGAGGCGGAAAUAAAAUUCUCUACUCCAGAAAAUGCAUAGCUCUCGUCUGCCAAGACUGUGGGACUUCUGAGUGUCUGUUUUUGCCUGUGAUCAAACAUGCAUGACAGCUCGCCUUCAAAGCCAAGACAAUGUGUAAGCGAGGCAUUCUGGCAGAGCAUGCGAUCAGUCCAACAGAGGAACACACCCUCGCACAGUAUGGUUGACGGUUCUACUUCUUUCAUCUGGCUACAAAUAUGUGCGCUUAGCCUAUAAAUAGUUAAUAGAGGUUAGGAUAAUACCCAGGUCGCUGCUCUUUUUUAUCAAUAAUAAAAUGUCAUGACAGCCCUGUGACUGCCUCACUGACCCGUCCACAGCACCAACCAAGUUUCCCCUCCGGUCUGAUACAAUUCAUCUUCUACUGUACACGUACCUGGAAAGCACAGGAAGAGAAGAUCAACAACUAAUUCCUCAAAGGACAAACAGAACAAAAGGCUCAUUUCACCGCAGCCAUCCAGAGUUGGCAUCUAAUUACUCAAACAUGCACGCACGUCAUCACAACAUAUUGACACUGUUAAUGAAGGUAAAUUCAGAACGGUUCAGAACGGUUUGGCAAACAUGUUCAGACAAGAUGCAGUGCAGUGGUGUUAUUCUUUGACGGCGCUGUAAACAAGGUAAAACAGCUUUAAAUCUCACAUAAUGGAGACGGACAGGGAUGUGCGCGCGUCCCCCUGAGGCAAUUUUCCCUCAGGCUGCUUUCCCUGAGGUGAACAGAUUUGCCAGCACGUGUGUAUCUGGACGCGGUGACCGACAGUGGGGGAAAAAAGAUAUGCUUAGUGCCGCGGGUCGCUGGGGGUCUGUAGAAAUCCUUUGAGCACACAUUCACUGCACCAGGACAUUGUUCCAGUUGACCGACAAGCACCUUGGUUAAUGUACAGUCAGAGAUCACCUUCUAAUAGCAAUUGUAGGGCCAUAUGUUUUUCAGAAGUUACAGGCAGAUCUAAAGAAAAAGGAGCCUCCUGUGGCCAUAAUUCCACAAAUUACACUCUUCCCAGGAGACAAUAUUUUCCUGUUAUUGAAAAGUAUAAUGAUAUAUAUUGGAGACUUUCUGGUCUGUGGAAUCAUUUGCAUCCCCUCUAAUUUGAUACAGGCUGCAAUUAUUCAUGACUAAUUGUGGCUGGGAAGCUCCAGUAUUUACGGUUGAUGUUUUGCAACAGUGGUAAUUUAAACGGUUGAUCAUUGUACUAGAAUAACUGUGAUUAAUACAUGUUAUUGCUAUAACCAUUAUUUAGGUGUAAAACAUUUUGUUUUGGGGUUGAAUGCCAAGGCUAAUUUUUUUCCUGUGUGCAUGUCCCCCCGAACCGCUAUCACAUCACACUCUUUGAGUACAAAAUGGAGAAACAAACCCGGCCCACCAUUGUCAAUGAGUCCAUUAUUCAACUAUAGGAGCAACUUUGAAGUGUUGUUAGCCGGAGAAACUCAUCGUGAAAGAAGAACUGUAUCAAGUACAAGAAUCUUGCAAGGCUCAAGUGGGAGGAUCUGAAGUCCAACUGAUCUCUCGAGCUCUUUAUUGUAAUUGUACUCAAAGUGCCCCAGAGAGAGGGGAGGCCUGUUGUCAUGGCAAAAUGAAUUGAUAAGGCAGAACUCAACCGACACUCUUGGCGAUACAAUGUUGUUGUUUUUUAACUGAGCAGUGGUUAAAGCUGCUGUGAAAUGACAUGAAAAUAUCUCAGCAGAGAGCCUGAAUGAAAUAUUCAGGGCUUUUCUAUAUAUCAUGCUGCACAUUCCUUUUAAUGGUGGUCAGACAAGGACAUUAAUUAGUCAGGAAGUGCUUAUUCGUGCAUUCUUAGUUGUACAUACUGUACCGUGCAGACUUUUCAUUUAGGCAUAUAGGUCCGUUUUACUGCUGCUCUCCUCCCCUCCCUAUGAUCAUCUCGAAACAACAUCACUCCCCAUCUGUGAGCGAGGCAAAUAUCACACACCAUCAUCGUCUACAGUGUAAUCUAUUCUUCGAGUCACCAUGAAAUCAAAUACAUUUUUUACCCAUAAACCGUAAAAGUGUGACUAAUAUAAAUGUCUCUACACACAUGCCUGACAAGUACGUGGAACAAAGGUGUCAGAAAGACACAAACACGUCUCUCGGUCUUUCGGAUUUGUUAGCAUAUCAUAUUUAUUUGGUCCAUAGAUUUGCACAACUCGAUCCUCAACAGUACAUAAGUAUAUUUUUAUUGAUUGUGUCUUUUGUGUAAAUAAACUUACUUAUUUACGUUUGCAAGAGACAUUUCAAAUAGCUGAUGUUGUUGUGAUGCUGUUUUUCUUCAUUAAAGCAUUCAAAACAAAAUUGCUCCAAAUAUAUUCAUCUUUGUCAUAUUCGGUUCAUGUCUUAUUUUAAUGUUAGGAAAUUCUUUAACUAUACUUUAUUGCCACAGUGUUUAAUAUGUUUGGCCCAGUGAACUAAAGGGCUUGUUUGGGCUGUCUUUAAGAUGUGUUCCUGAAACCUUAAUUAAAAUGCAUGACAAAAUUUCAUUAAUGCCCACCCUGAUUACAAGGACAGAGAUUAUUUAAAUAAUAACUGAAUGCAGAUUAUAAUCUGCUCAAAGGGAAUUCACAGUUAUAUUCAUUUACAGUAUAGAGAGCAGGAAUACAUGUGUAAAUGUCAACGUUAAGUGUUAGUUUGAAAAGGGUUCAUGCAUUACUGUAACUAACAUUUAGAUGGCAUCUUUAUUGUUAUGAAGACUUUUCAGCAAAAGGCUGGAUAACUGGAAUCAAUGCAAUCAUGAUGGGAAAAGUUUAAGGUCAUCUCAAUUUAACAGGGACUUGGUGAAGCCUUCAAUAUCUGACACCCAAAUAUACUUUUAGCCACAUCAAAAAUGACACACAGAUAUAAAAGUAGCAUUUCUAUAAAAUGUGCAGUUAGAUUGAUCUAACACCACUUCAUGAUUUCAUUAAAAUGUUUCCUGCUUUAAAAGAUAAGCCCUUACUUUUCAUUUCGCACAUUACAAAGUGCCAUUAUUAUCAGUUUAAUUAUACUGAGUGAAUAGAAGCUUUAAUUAAUAAAAUGUCUACCGACUGCAAUAGUAGUGAUUCACUCUCGUUUAAUGAUGGCUAAAUUUCCUCUGUAAAAUAGAAAAAAUGUGGCUCGGUGCCGACACAUAAAGUCCACAAGAAAUAGGUUUGAACUUUAAAUGCAAAAAAAUGCAUAUAACAGUUACUGUAAUUUAACUUUAAGGCUUCUACAAAAGGAACUAUUUAUUCAUUCAUUGGUCUGUUUUGUAAUUGUUAUUUUUUUGUCUUCUCCCGUUUACACAUGACUCAUUGCCCUUUUGUGCAAACCUUGCCCCCAUUUGAUCACUCUUACAACAAGUUGCAUUAUACCGCAGUAAAAUGAUGAAAAUGAAGUUUAAAAAUCCUCAACAAAAAGCAAAGAAAGACAAGAAUCCUCAACGCUGCAGUAUACAACUUUUCACCUUGAGGCGUUAAAGCGCCGUGGACGCGUGUCCUUUAUUUGUCCCCUCAGGUGUGAGGGUUAGGCCAACACAUGUCACUCAAUUUGAUGAGCUGUUGAGAUGACAUCCAGCCUGAGGCUGUGGCAAAGCCUUCAUAGGCACUGAAGACAUGCGCAGAGCCAGUUAAUGUGAAAAGGAAGAGAUGGUAACCACAAAUGGCAAACCACCAGCUGCAUAGACAGUCCCCCAAAACUAACGCAAACACCCCCAAACAUCCUUUAAAAGCGCCACUUUUGGAAACUUCUAUUGGAAAGAGGAUUCAAGCAACACCACUCUGCCGGCGUUCCAUUGUAUUUCAUAAAAUGAGUGUUUCUUAGUUUCCUGAAAUUAUAGUCAAUUAAAUGUGUUUUUCUAAUUGUGAUGUAAGUGAUAAAAUGUCAAAUAUUUUAGUGCUUAUUUCACAGACGUGAGGUUGACCAAUAUAACAGUUCUAAUUACCAAGCAUACUCUAGGUUAACAUUGUGCUAAUUACAGUAUAAUUAUAAGUAAGCAACUUAUUUAUUCACUGCAACACGCAUACUAACGGCUGGAAACAACUCCCCAUGUGUCUGACAGAGCUGCAGUCAAUAUUGUCGAUAGCCAAGUAGCCGGAACUACCACGCUGAGGCCAGUAGUUUUUGCCUGAUGUGGGAUUUCUCUCUUCCUAAUUGCUUUAGUUAAGUUAAAUCAUUGUGCUCAACCUGCCCCUGUCCCUCUGUAAGGCUUUUAUAUACACAUAUACUAAUGGGCCCAUCAGCACUAAACCGGAUAACUUGCGUUUGUUUAUUCGUUUUGUGUUGAUUGGUCAUAAUGUACAGUCUGUACAAUUAGUUAACUGUAUACUAAUAGUCUAAAAAGAUAGUUUAAAAAAAGAGCCAUGAAGGAUUCCUCGUGAUGCAAUGACAGCAGCUAUCAGUAAGAUUAUUAUUAUUAAAAUGUGGCAUAAAUGGUGGUAAAAAUUGGUCGUGGUGGUUUAGCUUGUUAUGUUAUAAAUAAAAAACCUCUGACUGUUGUUUUCUUCUUCCCCACCGCUGCCACAGUGACAAUGCUUCUUUCAUCAAGUCUUAUGAGUAACCAUGCAGGACCAACCACAGAGAGUAAAUGUCAGACCAAUGCAUCACUUCUUCAUGUGACAAUCUAAACUCAAAGGUUUACAGUGAGGCUAUGCUUGUUUCAGCCAAUUGCUCACAAUGGCAAUGUUAAGUCGCUACUGUUUAGCAGGUAUAAAUUCGGCAUAAUGGUUUAGGAUGUAACACUAACAUGACAAGGUUCAUCUGCACCCAAUAAUUAUACUACAUCCUUUGGCAGUAACAAAAAUAUAUGUGGAAAGUUCCAUGAUAUCCCAUUGCAUACUCUGUAUGUUACGACAUUUCCCUCCAAACCACACGUCUAUACCGCACUUUGUCGCCAGAGGAAGAGUCCUGGGAUCACUACUGUCGAUAGGAUUAUUCAUCUGGGAUCAUUAAAGGUACAACGAUGUGUAUCUAUUGAGCAACUGUUUCAAAGACAACAUGUCAAAGCAUAUUUUAAAACUUUGUCCUGCUGGUGAUGCUGGACGUCCUAGUCACCAGAGUCAUUGGGAUUUAUUCGAGUGCUUGUCUCUCAACAUGGCAACACUUCCAUGUUGAAACCAGACAAGUCCGAAUGUACAGCCUUGUUUGCAGCUCUAGUACUUUAACUUUCUCCCUUAUUUCUAUUCUAAAACAAAUCAGUUUAUCUGAAAAAUGAACAGUUUGUUAAGGUGGUUGCAUAUAGUGAUCACGUUCAAGGUUGAAUUUUCCUGUACCAUUAACAGAAGCACAAAUGUUGGCGCUGUUACUCUUAAGAAGGACUUUUGCACACGGGGCUUGUGUGAUUUGAUGAACUAAAAAAAUGAAUUACACUUGUAGAAGGUUUAGGAAGGAUGGGGGGCGAGAUGUUACAUCUGAGAGAGUGACCGUGAAGAACAAACACAAUGUAGAACCCUUGAACUCUACAUGACGGAUCACUUCCAUCAACGAGCUCCUGGUGAUAUUGUUCAGAGUCCAAUAUGUGCAAUGUUCCUGCACAAGCCGCGGGUGAAAUGGGAGAUAUUUUUCAGACCACACACAGCAGGUAUGCUGGCAGAGAGGCCACGACAGGCAUCAACAACAAAGGGCGCAUGAAUAUAAAUUAAAUGACUUUUUCCAGCAUUAGAUUUACACAGUGCUAUUUGUUUUUGCGCUCCAGUCUCUGAUGGUAAACAGGGCACUGAAGUCUCCUUUGAAAGUCACUGUAAUCUAGUUCAAAGAUGGACCGAGCCCCAGCAAAACUCCAUAGUGGACCCAGAGCCACCCAAAACGUCAGUAGAGUUUGCUCAAUCACCCUUUCAUCCACUCACUGACUCCGUCAGCCUGUUAUGGGCACAUGUGGAGCGUUCCCACCCAGCGGCUAAUCUCUUGUUCCCUGUGCUAGAUUUCCUGCUUGAAUGCACUGUAAUGACAUUUAUAUCAUUUUGUGAGUAGCCUACUCUUAUGACUUAUAAUUCCACCCACUCACAAAUGUGCAUUACAUUAUGCUCUAUAUAUGGAGGAAACAUUGUGAUGAUUGCAGAAUAAAUUGUAAAUUGGAGUAAAUCUCUCAUAAAUUGCCCGUCGUUCUCUUCUGAGCUGUGUUCUGCUGCUUGGCUGGUUAUCCUUCAUUUUCAUGUGGCGUAUGCUUUAAAUAUGAAUUCUCCCACAAAGAGUUUAAUCAACAUUCAUGUUCUUGGAGGGCUUCUUGGCCCAGAAGGUGUUAAAUGAAUCAUGGAUUGCAGCUGGUCCUCUGGUACAGGGGCUUGCAAGGUCAUUUCUGUCUGAAAGGGCAGAGGCAAAAACCACUCUCCAGAAUUACUUUAUUUUACUCUAAGAGUAAUGCUUCAAAAUUUUACCGAAGGAUGUGAGCUUUUUAUAUCCCUAGACCUGAUGUUUCAUUCCUCUUUCAUUAAGAUUUAUUGAGAUUCGACUCAAACAGGAAAGAGACAGUUACCAGCUGGUUUGGAAACCAGGAGGGAGUUCAGAUUUACUUGGAAAGACAAAGGCACUCAAUUACAAUCCGAUUGUAGGAACAAAUAUAUGCUUAAACACAGCACAGUUUCUGGAUAGUCAUUGGAUUCAUUAACUGGGUCUUACUUCAACGUGUUCUUACUGUGGGAACAAACUGACUUAUACCACAUAUGCAAAUAUGAUAAAAAACCCCAGUGUAAAAUUGAUACGACUUCAUGUAAUUGGAUGAAGCACAGUCAGGAAUAAUUAAUGUUAUAGACAGUCUGAUAAUUUGGCAGCUCAUGGCAGAUCAGUGUUGGUGUGUUGGCUAAAGAUACAUAUUUUGUUGACCAGAAGGAUCUUAAAAGAGACCUUUUGGUCACAACACGUUUUGUUGUGUUUCUGUAAAAGAAAAAGCUUGGAGUUGAGGAUCCGAUUCAGGAUUCCCGUUGACAAAAAUGUUUCUGUCAGUUUUAAUGUUCCACAAAAAUGGGAGAAAUUCCGGUCAAAUAUUUUCUGUUUGGCUAUAUACGUAAUGACAUCAUCUUGAACGCAGCAUCAUUGGUCUCCGUGACAUCACAGAUGUGAGAUGCAGUCUCACACUCGCUGUAUCAAAACAGUUCGAGGCUUCAUCAGCGAUCAGCGGAUCAGAGGCGAGUAGGGAUAGAGUUGUUGGCCUGUUCAUCACUCUGUUCAAUGUAUAGUGGAAGCUGUGUUAGAUCGUUACCUACAUGUGAGAUGCAAACAGUCAAAAUCUUUUGGAACUAGAAUUACAGAUUUCCAUAAUUCUUCAAUUUUUUUAUCUUACAAAAGAGAUUUACAAUUGACACUGUGGUCCAAAAACAGUUUGCUCUCCCUCUUGUUGCUCAUCCCGACAACAUCUGCUACACAUUAAUACAAAAUAAUGAUAUAAGAUGUCUUUUUGACAUUUUUGUAACUGUUCAUUUUAAAUAUGAGGUUUAGCAGAAGAUAUCAGUCAGAUCAUAUCUUAAGUCUUUUGUUAAGUAAUGAAAAUUAUAUUACAUGUGAAAUGAUACAAGUAUGUCAGUAACACUGACUGUCUGUACUUCAAAUGACUGUUCACUACAGAAGCCACAUUAUCAUCCUAUAGCAGCCUUGUUUCUGGGUGUCGGAUAAAUUAAACCCAGAUACGCACUGGCCUUGGACUUCUGGUUUGGUCAAACAUGUGGUGACUCUUUGCUUUGCUGACAAAAUAUUCUGCCUUCUAUUUCAAAUGAGGUGCUAGGUCAUGCUCUUUUAAUGCAGGGUAAAUCAAAGCGUUGGCAGUGGGUUGUGUUAAUAGAUGUGAUUUCAGUGAAAUGUAUUAGUUUGAUGUGAUAUGGUAUUGUAAUCCUUUGCUUCCACCAUGUGGGUCUCAAAAAUGCUUUAACCAAAAUAAAGAGAACUGCAAGGGGAUAAUUGUAAUUUUAAGACCAUAUAAUAUAAUAGCUAAAUAAUGCCUGUACACAUAAGUCUUAUAAUAAGUCGAUACAUUAUUGAGACGCGCUAACUCAACACAAAUACAUUAAUAAGUGCGUGAAACGGUCACAGGUACGUUUCUUUCCAAUUAAAUGAAGCUUAGGCGAAAUUUCAGUCAGGAAGACUGGACAGGCUGUGCCGUUCCCUGGUGGCCUCCUCUCUCCCUGGUGGCCUCCUCUCUCCCUGGGGGCGCACGGCCAGCUGAUUAGGGGCGGGGUCGGGUAGUAUCAGACGUGGGUGUCGUUACCGUAAACCAAUCGCAUUGGGGCAGGCAAACGUUAAAAACUGUUCUCCUCUCUUGUGCUGUCAGUUGUCAUUUCAGCACGCUCCAAAGGUGACCCGCCACCACCCCUGACACCUCCAAUCUACAGCAGAACCUGGCAUAGCAGGAGAGUUAUGCAACUUGGGCUAUACCACCACCACCACCACCAGUGUCUGGACUCCCAAGGGGGGGAUAUGCCUCGUCUCGGCUCGAGUUCCCGGCCCCGGGUCUAUCCUGCGGCAGGAUGGAGUCCAAGCCCCAAACAACUUGCAAUAUCAUAUUAUACCUGUUAUAAUAAAGCAUUGUUCAAAUUUCAACAAGUCUCUCCGGAUUGAAAUACGUACAACAAUCAUCAUAUGGAUGUGGUGUACUUUACACUUUGUGUUUGUCUGACUGUGAGCGUCUCUUUAGAGAUGUGACUAUAAUGUUGCACAUGGUUGCACUAAAUAAUAAAAUAAAAAUGUCUCCUUGGAACUAGCUAUUAUCCACCAUCCCCAGUUAGGUCACCUAAAAAACCUUCAACCCAUCUCACUGAAAAGCCUGACUUCAUUUACACCGUAUUGCGUUUCCUGUAACUCACAGAACAAAGCAAAUGCUUAUUCAUCUUUGCCAAGCAAGCACCAAGAUUUCUUCCAAACUUAGUAAGUGUUUGACAGUGUUGGCCGCUCAUCUACUCAUCUAUUCAUCAUCUGUUGACAUUGCAGACACAGGUACCAGGUUAGCGCUCUCUGCGGGUUCGAGUAUUUGUGCUGUUUUGGACGUUGACACACUGCAGGUUUUUGACAGGACAGUUUGUCUAGCUGCUUGGUUUGUAUUGUAUGCCACUGUCACUUUUGGUGAGUGAAGAGAUGCAUGUAAUGUCUUGCUCAUGGCAAGCUGUGGCUUGUUCAGAGAGAUUAGUGUCAACAGACACACACUCGCACACGCACACAUUCUGUAGUAGCAGAUGAUGUGAUCCUGCUGAAUGCGUCAACACCCAAGUGGCACAGAGUAUUAAAAAAAGCCUGCCUUGCACUACCACUAAGUGUUGUCAAAUGCACCAUACACUGGAAAAGUUAGCAUUCCCCAAAGACACAUCAUAACUGCUUUUUAAGUCUACAGUAAAACUAUUCUCCUGGGCUCUUAGCAGACAAUGUUUCUACUGUUGAGGUACGAACACAACUUCCAUCUCACAUCCAUCAAGUAGUGUGUUAUUAAGCGAAAUGGUGAGGUCACAGUGCAUAGACUGUGCGCUCUCUGUUCACUUCAAAAGGACCAUUGAACCCUAAUAACCUCGGACAGUGGAUGAUGGCUCAAAAACGUCCUCCCCCCCACAGAAUCCCUAGAGCAAAUAGUGUUUGCACAGUGCGCCUGUAUGUACAAUGAGGUCAGCUGUUGGGAUGAAAAUACACAUCCAAUCUGCGAUCAUCCAUUUUGUUUUUAAACACUGGAUUAAAACAUCUACACACGCAUAAACAUUAGCCACCGUCAGUAACUAGUCAGACUGAAAGAAACACAUGUACCAGCAUAAUCUACUCAUCAGCAGGAAUUUCACUAGGAUUGCGAAAGAAAAUAACAGAAGCUGGAGGCAGUGAAGUGUUUGCAGAUCCAUGUCCCCCCUCCUUUUAGCUGGGCUCCACAGGGAGUGUGACAACGUUGUGUUUGCUGUUCCUCCCCACCUUACUGCCUACACGCGCUUCCUAUGUGACUCUUGGGAGGCUUGCCAGGCUGCUUUAACUUUAGCAGACUUUAUCUUACUUUAAUUGUGCCGUCCUUCAGCACGGAAAAUGUUUCCUUUCUUCUCCCAGAUGCACUCUCAGUUGGUUUAAUAGUUGUUAUUUUUUUUUACUGUGUCGGCUACACUGGUUCUCUCUACGGUGGGUGAUUAAGAAAAAGACUGGCUUGGAAAAACAAUUUGAAGCAGCAUCUUGACGAUGCAUCUUCUUGUAGAUACAGAAGCUGAAUAUCACAUCAUUUUAAGCUGUUCAAGCUGUUUUUGAAGUGACUCACUGAGAGAUGGAAAGCUAUGAAAUAUACUCUAAGGCAGCGAUUCCCAAAGGGCUGGGCCGCGACGGGUCAUUUACAAUAAAUAAAUAGUUUUUUAAUUUUCAAUUUUUAAAAGUUUGAAAUUAAUAUAAAAAUAUUUAUGAUGCGGCACAUUAGUUAUUGUUCAUUGACAAAUGAGCAUUUCCAAGCUUAAACCAAAAAUCAGCCUGCGUUAGUUUCUGAAAAACAUUCUUGCAUAAACAUACUCUUCUUAAGUAAAACUUUUUUGUCCAUUUGCUGUCUGUCUCCCAUGUAUCCUAACUGCUUGAAUGGAGUUACAUGUAAAAGGCCAAUCGUCUCUUUCAGCCUCCAGACUCGGCUCACAUUUUAGCCAUCUGUUUCCACCAAUGACCUUUCUUUUUAAUUGCCCAUAUCAGAGCAGAAUGAGGAAGACGAGCCGGGUGCUCACUCCUGUCCAAUUCCAAUAUUGAAGAAACAAUUGUUAUUUACAGUGACAAAUAGCGCAGGGGAGCAUUAUCUGUGUCAGCUGCUUUCCACCUGACCACGUUGAACACCUGCCCAGAGCUGGGUUCGGUUCUUUGCAGAUGGCUAAAGUGAGCUUUCCAUCCUCAGAAACUGUUUCCGGCAGGCGACACCCCCUGCUCCCCAACUAUUGCAAUAUUGAAUAUGAGGAGCUGCAAAGUCGAAGGAGAAAAUAGACUCAGAGUUGAUGAAUGGAGGUUGAUAGAUUAAUCAGCAACACAAGCUUGUACAUGUUGCCUGAUAUUGCUUGUCAGUUGGUUAAUAUUAUCCAUUAUUUCUGAACAAACAGUGUGAAUGAGCUAGUGGUCUUACAGGAACAUAUUUUACUUCAGUCCAAUUAGAGUUCUAUGCCGGUUUCCAUAGAGGUUGCAUAAACUUAGCAGCUAAUUACGUGGUUUUGUGUUGGAUGAUACAGUAUGCGGCAGUUCUCAAUGUGACUCUGGUUUUGAAUAAGCAUUGAGGAUAACGCUCGCAUAGUGAAAUACAUUUGGCGUCUUUCAGGGACACUUGUCAGGGUGACAUUAGGACACAGAUAAAUAGCUAUUUAUUAUAAAAUAUUCAUCAGAUAAUCAUGUUAUCCUACACAAGAAAUCACAGUGAUCACUCUCUUUAGCCAGGAAUUAGUUCAGUGGCUCUUACUGCACACAAUGCACAUAAAAAUACAUUAUUUACAUAUCAUGGGAAUAAUUACUAUUUGCAUUCACAGACUUUACAGUCAUGUAGCCCUUUCUGAUGUAUUUGCAUUGUGUUUGAAGGAAGAUGAAUCUGGGGACCUGCCAUGAGCCACCAUUGUUUUUUUGAUAUCCAGACAAGCACAAAGUUAAGACCAACUCUGCAAAAAAGCAGAACAUCUCCCGUGUGUCUCCUCUUUCUCCUUUCAACGGAAACAAGCAGAGUGAGACUUACGACAGUCAGCCACUGUGAUCUAUAAUAGAUAUCAAGAUUUGUAAAAUAAUACAUGCACCUUCUAGUAAGCUUUGAUAAAUAUUGGGACAGCUGAAAUAAAAUUCCACCCACAUUAUUUAUUGCGGACAAAAUGUGUUGGCCUCAGUUGAGGUCACAUGGUCAUUGUGGCUGUGGUCGAGGACGUACUGGUGGCUAGUGGGCAGAGGUUUCAGGGUCAUUCACUCACACGCCUUGAGCAAGUUGUGUAAUGAAGCAUUAGACACAGCUGGUGAUUGCCAGGCUAGGCCCCAAGUCACGACCACAAAUAAUAGGUCAUUUUAAGACCAAAACUGUUAGAGAUUAAACUAGUGUCUUUGUGUUGCUGGAUUGGAGGAGCUGGCUCCAGCCGGCUGUGGGUUAACCUUGGUUGGAGGUGGCAGGACACAGAAUAAACCAAAGACUAAGAAGAGAUGACAAAUGACUUUGGUAGCAUGCAUGCAACACUAAACCUCUUUGUCAAUGUAUCCCCGCACAGCGCCAAAGAAAAAUGCACCGGAAAGCACGGAAAAGCAGAUCUCAUCAAGUAAUGUAUAGCAGCGGCAGUACAAUGAACGACGAAGGGUAGCCCAGGGUUAAUCGAUAAUUUGAGCCACCAAUCUGUUCCAGGUGCUUUAUGAUGUGACUGAGGUAAUUAUCACAAGAUCAAUAAAAGAGUUUGUUGUGCAGAGGGAUGGGUGAGGGAGGGGUAAUUGGUUUCUGCUGCGGAACGCAUCUUAUGUAUGUAUUUUCCAACCUGGGAAUAGGGGUUAAAAAUGAUUCUCUUUAGAAGUAGAAAAAGUCUGUUCGCUGUUCCGCUGUUCACUAUUCAUUCCCUGUGGGUUCAGGACCAAUAUUCAGAGAUGUCCACGGGGCUAUUUGCAUUUGCAUGCAUCAUUAAACUCUCACAAAGGGAGCUUUGGUGGGUCUUGGAGCAAAAAAGAAUAUGCAGAGGUCGGGACUAAAAAGGGUAGGAUAUAGAGAAUGGCCAACUUCAGAGGAGUUGUCUUGGGAGAGUACAGAAUAAAGUUUUGCCUUUUUACUUGCAUCCCUUUGCAAGAAAAUAAUGCUCAUACAACAGGUCAUCAGCUUUUAACUUGGUCACAUGUGUUGUGUUUGGACAUAACUAAAAGACAAAAGCUACAUGAAAAGACAGAAAAAAAACAUUUCUGGACCGUAUUUGUAAAAUGUGCUCCGGGGACGGCGAACACUGAGUGGCCACUGAGUUUGUUAGUCCACUUCACGUUGGAAUUCUCACUGAUGUACUGUUUACCGGAGGAUUUGAGUUUAGAUGCUGCUCUGAAGCGUUCAAGCUGUCAUCUUAAAAACAACAUUUGUAAUGGAAAGCUGUAACCAUCUACGGCUGUGAUAAAUAGGGCAACCAGGACCGCAGGUGGGAGAAGGACGGGGUCUUUUGUGACUUUGGUUAAUAAUCUCCCUGAUGCUACUCUAAACCUGCCUCUUUUCUCCCGAAGAUGUAUGUCCUCACAGAUUCUCUUUCUCUUCAUCUUACAGUUUAGCUCCCUGUGGGUUGACGUAAUCUCCUUUCUGUCUCCUUCUUAUCAUUGAUGAGGGAUUUCAUGUCCUGCACAACCUGGGUUCAGCUGCUGUUUAUUAUAAUAUUUGAGUCCGAGCAUUGUUCAAAUGAAACUUUGCGCAAUCUAUUAUGCACAACACUUUUACCACCUUAAAUGUUGUGGUGGCAAUGCGUGAUGGAAAUUCUGUAUACUUUGAAAAACGGAUGAGUAAAAACCUUCAUUAUCGCAUACAUUGAACCUGCUGUCUUAUUCCAGAGUUCGCCAUGUCUUUUUAGUGCAAAUUCAGUGAUUCGAAGCACCAGAUGCAGCAAAAAAGCUGAAUACAUUGACCAAUUGUUAAUUUCAUUUUCUUUGAUUGUUGUUUCUAUUAAAAUGUUAUAAUAAUAUACAUCUUGGGUGAAUGGUACUACAUAGUAUCAUCAGCAUCUGGUUUGAGACCAUCAGCAAUGGUUCACAGAAAUGUGUUGUUGUGUAAUUACUUCUUUGUCAUAUAGUGGAAAUAAAAUCAAACAGUUUACACCAUUUGAAAGAUGAGUAUGAAUUAAUUUUAGGGCUGUCAACAUUAACGCAUUAAUCUAUGUGAUUAAUGUAGCUUAGAUUAAUGCAAAAUAAAAAUAAAAUAGUUUAAUGUAGUUAACGUUCAUUUGUUUACUUCCGGUUUACCGGAAGUUGACCGCGGAAACGACAAGGCCGCAAGUUGCAGUCAGUUACAUCUAGAUAGAGAGAGCUUUUUGCAUUGGAAGUAAAACAAACAGAGGUGCGACAUACAGCGGAGAACUGAGCAGAGGAAUUACUCCACGUGUCAAACAGAAGGGGGGUGAGUGGCAAACGGACCACGUAAAGCACUGCUAUGUUAAGCCAGCUGCUAGGCUCCUUCCAUCUCAACAUCUUACAUUACCUUUCGCGGCACACAGUCUGCAGAGGACCACCACUGUGUCCCUAAAAGUGGUUUGGAAACGUCCUGGCUAAUUGUGAGGAGAUUCAAACACAGCACUUCACACACAGCUGUUAAAUGAUGGAGAGUUGAGAGCAAAGUGCUUGAGUACAGCAGGAAGAGUUGCUAGUAGAUUAAUGAAUUUCAAAAUGUGCGAUUAAUUAGUACUUUUUUUUAAUCUAUUGACAGCCCCAAUUCAUUUGCAUAUUUUACUUCUACAAUAGCGUUGGUGCUGGUUGCUGAUAUUUGCUACAUUUGGUUUGUUAUAACAUCCUUAGCUAACCGGUAGCUGGCUUUAACGACGUAUCUGAUGUACAGGAAUGAGUAUGAUAUAAAUGUAAUCUAACUCUCCUCCACUACACAUGAAAUAUUUCUUCCAGUUAAAGUUAACUUUACCCUGUUAGGAUUACCUAAUGAAACUGGCAUUGAGCAUUUUGUUUUCAAAUGUCAGAAAUGUACAGUAUGUUGGCACGAGUAUAAAGGACAAAGCUAUUUUUUUAAUGUAGUAAUAUAAUAAUGGUAAAUAUAACAGUGUAAUAAUACUAAUUAUACAUUUUUUAGAAUGUUUUAUAUUAGUCAUUCCAGUUAUAUGGUUCAGUUAAAUGUUGAUAUAUUGUAAAUUAGGACUUGAAAUUAGGCCUGUCAAUAGAUUUAAAGAAAUUAACUAAUUAAUCACACAUUUAAAAAAUAAUUAAUCAAGAUUUAUUGCGAUUAAAAGUUUGUUUUUCUUCUAGUGACGGAAUCUUACAUGUAAUGAGUAAUCACUUUAGAAAGUGUGUAUUUUAGACACUGUUUAAUUUUAUUUUAUACACAAAACUAGACACAUUUUACCAUCUACAAGGCAGAAUUCCACCGGGUGUAACAUGUUGAACUAACGACUCUACCUGCUCUCCUCGUACUCUUUGCUGUCACCUGUCCAUCAUGUGACGGCUAUGUUUGAAGUGCCAACAAUCUCCCCACAUUUAGCCAGGACUUUUCUAAACCACGGCCUUUUAGGGACACAGUGGUGGUCCUCCACAGGCGCAGGUUUCUCCGCUGCAUGUCGCGCCUCUGGUUGUUCUAACUGACUGCAGCUAGCGGCGGUUUCGAUUUCGGGGUCAACUUUGUUGACUUCCAAGAACAACGAAAGACCGGAAGUAAUAUAAUAUAAUAUAUAUA
ensembl:lncRNA